rnacentral:lncRNA from 1 species
GUUUAUGUGUUGUUCCUUGUGUAAGAGCAUGGACUUACUGCAAAUCCUGCCCUUAGGGCAAAUUCCUACCUAUUCCUGCGGAAGCAUGUGUAUCAUUCCCCUAUGGUUUAUAACCCCUGAGUCUGGGGGUAAUGGCACGGGGACCCACCAGCUUGUCUGCCGCCAUCUGGGAUCUUUUUCUGCCAGGUACAGUGCUGGAAGCGGGGAUACAGGGACAAAUAAGACACAGAUCCUGUUCCUAAAGAGUUUUUUGAGAUGAAGUCUCGUUCUUGUCCCCCAGGCUGGAGUGCAAUGGCAUGAUCUCAGCUCACUGCAACCUCUGCCUCCCGGGUUCAAGCAAUUCUCCUGUCUCAGCCUCCUGAGUAGCUGGAUUACAGAGUCUUUUCUAAGGCACCAACUACUUCCUUCAAGCAGCAGCCAGAGAUCUUUGCUUAAUGGCUGAGAAACACAGAGGAGAGACCCAGAGAGAAGGAGAAGGCCGCAUGAAGAUGGAGCAGAGACUGGAGUUAUUCAGCCAAGUCAAGGAAUGCCUGGAGCACCAGAAGCCGGAAGAGGCAAGGAAGGAUCCUCCCUUAGAGCAUUUGGAAGAGUGUGGCCCUGCCAACACCUUGACUUCAAACUUCUGGCCUCCAUAACUAUGAAAUAAAUUCUUGUUGUUUUAAGCCACCAA